rnacentral:lncRNA from 1 species
AAGGAAAGAACCGUACAGAAGUAAGAGUACCUGUUUGAGACAACUCCGAAGCAAGCUGUACACAGAAAACAAAAGAAAAAAUGUUGCAUCUGAAUUAUCUAAGACAGACUGGAAAAAGAUGAGAAGAAUAAUAAUCUUCCCUACAUAAAGAUUGUGCACACCACAACCAGGAGAGAAGACUCCCACUGGUUCACCAACAGUGCUCCCUCUGAGUUCAAUUGCACUUUGGUGUAGAGUAGCUUUAUCAGACAGUCUGGUUCAUGUCCAUUUACCGUUUUGAAAAAAGGGAAAAACAUGAUGCCACAUCUCGCUACAAUAAGAAUCAUAUUAUCAUACUGUACUUUGAUUUCUCCAAAGCAAAGAAAGGCUUGUCAAAAUGUACUGCACCAGACGUGCAUUCUACGACUGUCACAUGAUCACAAACACCACCUAGGAUGAAAUCUACAUUGAAGGGUUGCAGAGAUUAGAUAACAGAAGUAAAUGAAAGCAUCAUUUUUAAUUGAGUCUGUUUUGAAUGACAGAGAGCAAGUCAACAAAUGUACUGCAUUUCUCCAUCUUAGUGAGACGAGGAUGACCUCUUAGUGCAAAAUCGAAACCCAUGCCUCUUCACAUUCCCAAUUUCCAAAUUAAAAUGUACUAGUUGGCUAAACCUCUCUCUCACUCUUGAAAAGCAGUCUGAAAACUAAAGCCUCCCAAAUCAUCUAUGGUUUAAUCUACAGCCAAAACCUAACUUGAGACUUGCGACUAACUCCAAAAAAUAUGUAUUAUUAUAUAUUUUUUUAAUCUCCCAUUGACAUCAAUGCACGAUGUGCAAAAACGCAAAGUUAAGAUUGUCUAAAGUUUGGCUGUGCAUACACAAGGUUCAGUCUAAGAGGAUGUAGUCAGCAGUACAGAAGGUAAAGGAACAUCAUUUAGAGGACUGCCUUUAAAAUGCAACCAAUCCGUUGGAAAACGGCCUAUGUGUCAUCGAUAUGUGUCAGAAACAUUUAUUCUAAUGUCAAAAUUUACUACAAAGUGUAAAUAGGAUAAUUUUUGUCAUAAAGUCAGUCUGGUCUAAAACGGAGUCUGGAACAUACGUGUGUCACAACAGGUUAAUUAAUGUUGGGUUUUGAUUGGACAAUGUCCAUUUACCCACUAACAUGGGAUGAACAGCUGCGGUGAUUGCUCUCUAUCCAAUAGCAUACACAGUAAGGCAGACGUGCUCAGCAGCUCAGACUUUUAACAUAAGACAAUGCGUCUCGGAUUUUUUUACUUGAGAAAUACUGCACCAAACACCUUAGUCAGAUUUCUAAUUUUGCAACUAAAACAUCCUCGGCGAAAACGUCUAAAUUAAUUACAGAUUUCUUGAGUUAUCCUAGAUUCAUUAUGGGAUUUUGAGGAAGGGAAAUAGGCUUCUAGUGUCUAAUGGGGGACAAACAUCAUUAACCAAAUGAGGAAUCGGUCAGGAAACACACCUCCAAGACUGAAAUCUACUUUUUCUAAUGAGAAACAGAAAAACACAUGCCAAUCAGCGUGUUCAGCCUCUCUUUAAUGAUUCUAAGCCACCCAGGGACCAUUCUGCCCUGGGUGCCAUUUAAAAAAAAAAUAUUGUCGAUUUUGUUCUAAGCAGACGAUGGUAACAAUUCUCAUUUUGUCAUAUUGAGGGAGCACUGUUUGACAAGUAAAAAACCACAACAUCUAAACAAAAAGAAUAAGCAGUCAUAACAUCUUCAAGUUUAAAAUGACAGAGGAAAGAAAUAAAUCAAAUCAAUCUAUCAGAGUCAUUUUUAGUGACAGACAGAUUGAUUCUCAAACGCAUACUUGCUAUUUGGUUAAUUAGAUAUCGUAAACAUUUGUACUUUUCUGUAUGGAGGAAAAUAUUCAAGCUAGCUUAUUUGAUAGAUUCUGUACGGUUAUCAUUAACAAACAAAAACAAACAAAACAAACACUUGGACAGACAAAUCAAUUGGCUUAAAAGCCAAAUUAAAAACAAACCCAACUCAGGCACCUUAAAGGAACACUUUCUAAUGCCAUCAUUGUUCCAUGUAUAAAGGUCUGUUAUUCACCGAAGGAGUGUUUCUGAACCAUUUACAUUUGUACCUUAACUAUUGUUGUUGGCAACAUGUUUGGAUGGUAUAAAGUAUGUGUUUUCUAGUGCAUUUGGGGGGACUUUAUCCAAUGAUUAAUAAAUGCCCCGCUCUUCGAAUCAUACAUUAUUUUCAUACCAUCUCAAACACUCCCCUGGUGAAACUUUCAAACUGCCUCCUUUUGCUAAAUAAAAAACACAACCAGAAUCUCAAACUGAGAAUACAUGUUCAUGUCAAAAUAAAAAGAAUUGCCACCAUGAUCUGAAAUAAAGGAAAAUAAAAAGGUGCUUUCCCCAUCCUAUGGACAAAGCAGAUCUGUACAGGAAACUAUUUUCUGCUAAAAAAAACUCUCUUAUGAUCUUAAAAAUAUACAGGCUGUAGUCUAGAUAGCAGCUAGUCCCAGUGUUGAUCAGCUCUGUUGUCACCGCCCUUGGUAGGAUAGCAACAAUGGAGCUUUGCUGAAAGACACUGGUGUCAAGGCUACUGAUAAUCUCGACUCAGACUUGAUACAAACACAUAUGUGUGAGUUGGUUAAAUGGGGCCAAGGUUGACCAAUCAGUAUGAUAUCAUCAUGGACAACUAGAUUGAGAGCUGCAUUUUAAACAUAGAUGAGCCUGCCUCCUCUUCAUUAUAAUUAUUAUGGGUCAAUUAAAAUCAAUAGAACCACAAUCAAAAAAGAAGGAAAGCUUGCUGUUGAUUAUGAUAAAGCUCAGUUUCUGGAAACUAGAAAUCACUUGGCCCACUGAUGAAAUGCUGCUGUGGCACGUCAAUAGACGUGUUACCAUAUAAGCUCUGAUUAAGUUAGCUUCUGUUUCUGAUCCGUUUACAGCAUAAUUAAAUCAGAAUAUAUAACCCAAAACAAUAUGUCAAGAUAUAUUUCAAUAUAUUUCUUCCAAAUAUGCUUCAAACCUAAAUAUUCAUCAAACGUACUAAAUGUUAAUUACUUGUAUUCAGUAAAUGAUAUGGUAGAAGUAUGAUACCUUAUUACAGGUAUUUUGGAGCAGAGAUAAGCAAUAAUGGGUAAUUCAUCUGAUCAUUUUGGAGGGUGCUCGGACACAUGCUGUUUCACGAUAACAGGGUAAAGGACAAUUCAAAGCAACUUCUGCUCCAAGAAAAAGCACAACAAUGGUCAACUCACCCUGAUCCCUCUUCCGCAAACCAAUCUCAUUGGGCACAACCACUGAAACACGAUCACUGCACAAAUGUUAACAUUAAUGUUAAUGCAAGUGACGUUAAUGUGACUCCAUGACAUUCAUAUAGCAUUAGAGAGCUGAGGACCGACCAAUUAUACCGAUUGCAUAUGAGCUAGCUUCCCUUUCAUUUGGUUUGAAACGGGUCACCCAUUUUCAAAUGGGAAAUGGGUAGGCCUGACACAAUCAAAACCAGACACGGAACACAGUUUUAUAGUAUAUACAGUUAAACAAUUGAAUCAUGAAAAACAGCAAUAAUGGACAUUAGUCCCUCUUGCCUCAAUGUCAAUUUCAAAACAGGUUCAGAAUACAGGCUACUAUUUCUAAGUUUGUCAUGCCUCCACCCUAUGUAUUGUGUAAGGGGACACCAAAGUUUUUUUCACUUUGAUUCACAAAGAAAGUCAGAUAAAACAUCCCUGACAGGGGACGCUUAAUAAAAAAAACACUAUCAUGGCUUACUGAGCUUCACUGACAUGGUUUAGGAUUAAUUCAUACUUUUUUAGACCUAGACACACUCAAUUAAGGAGUGUGGAACAGGAAAAAGCACAUUCACAAAAUGAUGGUCCGACAGACUGUAAAUAAAUACGUCAGUAGCUGGGUAAACUGGAUCUGAAUUCACAGGGUAUUGAUGUGAAAACACAGAAAUACUGCAUGCAUUCAAUUGAGUGCUUAUGGAAUGAGAUUCGGCUUAUUAAACAAAACGCGGUGUUGGGCAACGACUGUGUAUUCACAUUUCUAUCCACUCUAGGUUUGAUUCAAUAAACUAUACAACAAACCCCAAAGGAAACUGCCUCGCUCACUGAAGAGGACCAAGCAAUAGCCACAAAAAAGAACAAAAGAGAAGCAUAACUUAACAAACAACCCAUAACUCGCACCACACACACACACACACACACACACACACACACACACACACACACACACACACACACACACUAAAGGAAAGACGAUAACUAUGCUCAUUUGCCAGUUCUCUUCGAGGGUGACAUUAGUUGCCUGGCUACUCAGACUCCUUGCUCCAGCCAAACGCUAUGCCACACCCCCGGACGUUAGUUUCUUACGCAAUACCUCCCCGACCCGUCACCGAAUGCAAAUAUAUUCGGGGCCACCUGAUUGGUCCAGAAACCGAUGGGUUGGGCCAGAGCCAGAACACAAGUGGGUAAAGCGGCGGUUUGAAAAUUCGUCAUUGGCUUUGACACUAAUUGGUUAGAGACAAUCCAAUCGCUGAUUACUUUAUUUUGCACAACGCCCCUCCUCACCACAAAUGACUUCAAUGAUGGUAGUCUCGGACUAAAGUAUGUAGCGAACGACAGGGAAGCGGAAGAAUUUAGUGCGGGUCGUCAGGCUAUGACAUUGGCAAAUGCUUUUUAAACAAAGACUACAGUACACUGUGGCUCUGUCUACAGGAGAGAAGCUCUUCUGACAAAAAGACAAGAGCUAAGUAACACAGACAGAGAAGGCACUUCUUAACUUUGUGAUUCAUACUCUUUUAUAUCCCUCUCAAGGCACCCAACUAAUGUCACUCUGAGUUUAAUUCUUGUCUAGUCUUUUGGCCAAGAACUGUGCAAAGCACCAUUAAACAGUACCAAUGUAUUUAUCCUUAACAUAAUUUUUUGUCUCCAACCAACAUUUGUACCAUCUAAUUUCCCAUAACUAAUUAACCAAUCCAAUUGCAUGACUGUUCAAUUGCAAUAUUUACGCAUCAUACUUAAUCUGUAUUACCAAAAGAGCGAAUCACACUUUGAGCAAAUUAUCAUGUUUAGAACUGCCCAAAAAGGAGUGGCCAUCAUUCUACAAAUGUUCCCUCUUUCUCAACGAAUCUAAAUGCAGCAUUUAAAUCAAGUCACCAAAUUUAAAUCCUCGAUAUCCUCAGUUUCAUUACAUGAUGUUUCUUUAAAGGGAAAAUCCAUUCAAUAAAAUUGAUUCGAUUUUUUUCUGUUGAUACAGUCCUAAAAAAUACCAAAGAUAGUUUGAGUGGAUUUUCCCUUUAAGUCAAGAAUCAACCUUCAAAUUUUGGCUGAAGUGUAUUCACACAAACAAAGUCUAUGCUAUGGAAAAGGAAUAGAAGCAUUGGCAAAGUAAGUCCCUGAAGCCACAUAACAAAAGUACUGCUCAGUACCCGUGGAGGGAUUCACUCGACAGUGAGUGUGUCUGUAAAUCUCCAUGUAUUCUUAUUCACUUACUAUUGUUUGUGCAUUAUACUGGUCUACGACAUGAGACGUACACACUUAAAACAGCACGAGUACUAGGGCUAGUGUCUAGGUACUAUCCAAAAGAAGGAUUUACAUGCAUUCCGUACUUAUAGAAAAUCUCUCGAACCUCCGUGGUCAUGCUCAAAACGGAUCAGAUAUUUUUUUGCUACAUGAAAGACAUCCUUCAUUUGGCUCAAGUUUAGCUGGAUACUGUGCAUCCUCCAGCAGUUUCCCCUGCGGGGGGACACAGUUGGAAAGGAAAGCAUUCAAUACUUUCUGUUUGCAUGGUUAUGUACAGCAAAUACAGCUUUUAGACUGACAGUCACACUGCCUGUUACUGUCUGUAGAUAUAUGGGUCAUAUAACAGCUUUCUACAAUAAUCUGUUUGUUUCUUAUGUACAACAAUGUUCUACAGCUCUGUGAAUCAAGCUUGUGUCAAAUAAAAACAACAGUCAAGCUCAAAGAGGAAGUACUGUGAGUCGUAGUAACGCUGUGACAAAAGCAAAUGCUUGUGAGAAUAACAUUGUACUAGACAGGCUUCCUAGAGACUAAUCCAUACAGUACCGAGAGUUAAGAUCCAAUAGAUUGAUGCUCUGUGAGUAUAUUCAUGUAGAAAUAAAAACACCAAGAAUACUAACAGUAAUACCAUAGUCAAUUAUGGCUACAGGCUAUAGUAUAAAAGAAAGCACUAGAAGCAGAAACAGAAAUGUAGAAACGAGCAUGGAGAGAUUUCUCCACUAGCCAUGAUUAAACGAAAAAGGGAAACUUCAAUCCCUUUAGAAACUGUAUUCAUCAAUACACUAUAUAUUUGAUCUAUUGUGAAUAUCAUCUAUAUAUUCACAAUACACCAAAUAUAUCACAUCUCUUUUCAUAAAGAAUUUAUAUCUUACAACAAACUGGAGGAGAGCCCACGGCAGUUUCAUGGAAAUUGGACUUAAAAAACAAUAUCUAUAUAUAUAUAUAUAUUUCUAAAGCUGUAGUUUGCUCUCCC